CGGCGUGGGUUACUAUAGGGCAGGUUACUGCUAUUGGAGACAAUGAGUGGUGUGGGGUGUGGCCGCAGGUUACUGCGGGUUUCUGUGAGAGGUGUGGGUUGAGUGGUGAUAGGCUACUGACUUGGGUGAAUGAGUUAUCAUAAGUUACUCUUGGAUGUGGCGUGUUAUUGCGUAGGGGUUAAUGAGUGAGUGAAUGAAUGUGGCUUCACAUUGCUCUUAGCAAUAUUCCAGCAAUAUCACGGCGGGGGACACCAGAUAUGGGCUUCACCCAUGUGGGGAAUCGAACCCGGAUCUUCAACGUGACGUGCGGACUACCGCACCGCCCCCGUGCGGUGAGUAUUCGUAGGUUACUGCUGGGUUCAUUGAUAGGCCUGGGUUGGGAGGCACUAGGUUACUGCUGGGUUCAGAGAGAGGUUAAAGGUUACUGCUGGGUUCAGUGGGAGGUCAAAGGUUACAGCUGGGUUCAGUGGGAGGUCAAAGGUUACUGCUGGGUUCAGUGGGAGGUCACAGGUUACAGCUGGGUUCAGUGGGAGGCACGAGGUUACUGCUGGGUUCAGUGGGAGGUCAAAGGUUACUGCUGGGUUCAGUGGGAGGUCAAAGGUUACUGCUGGGUUCAGUGGGAGGUCAAAGGUUACUGCUGGGUUCAGUGGGAGGUCAAAGGUUACUGCUGGGUUCAGUGGGAGGUCAAAGGUUACUGCUGGGUUCAGUGGGAGGAGCGAGUUCAGUGAGAGGUCAAAGGUUACUGCUGGUUUCAGUGGGAGGUCAAAGGUUACUGCUGGGUUCAGUGAGAGGUCAAAGGUUACUGCAAGGUUCAGUGGGAGGUCAAAGGUUACUGCAAGGUUCAGUGAGAGGUCAAAGGUUACUGCAAGGUUCAGUGAGAGGUCAAAGGUUACUGCUGGGUUCAGUGAGAGGCGUGGCUGAGUCACUGGUCAUAAUAUAAGUUACCAAUGGAACUAGUGGCAGGCGGGAGCAAGCGAGAGGUAAGUAAAAUAGUGAAAACGUUUUGCAGUGUAUGGGUGAGUUGUUGAGCUAUGAUCAAGAAGUGAAAAAUAUAUAAUGCCGCUUGUGUGUAAUGAUCGAAGAUACGAAGUAGUGAGUGGUGAUCGGAAAGCAAGUGUUGAGGUACGUAAGUGUAAUUAAAAUAAGUUAAUUAUAAGUGUUUAUGUGCCAUUUUCUUCUGAAACUUCAUUUAAAAAAUCAGGAUCACCCUGUCAGUCACUGUGUAACGUAAUGGUGUAACUGUGCAUCCACCUCUACGUAACUCUGUGACUAUGUCACUACAUAUAACAUCAUCUACUUUAGAAAACUCAACGUAAACGCUGACAGGGACGCGCCGGUGCGCCGGUCUGAUGUAAAAGUCAUGAACAUCAACAUCAGCGAUGCACGGUCUAUAUUUACACCUGGAUUCAUCACACUAAUUAUCAGAUCUCCCCGAAUCAAUAGUGUCAUUGUACUGUUCCUCUAACUUAACGCAACCUUUGGCGCAGAUUACUGUCUGUUCCACAAACGCAUGUUCCCCUUCUUCUCGUGUGCUAACACUGUUUACAUCUUAUCGCCGUCUUCAUCUUCAGGAUCCUAUUACUUUGCAUCAAGAAGCUUUAUGCUGAGUGGUUGUACUU